rnacentral:rRNA from 1 species
GAGGGUGGAUCCCAAGGUGGUCUCUCGUUUUCCCCUAGCCCCCAGUCAAUACGCGGUGGCGGACGGCACGCGGGUAGAAGGGGGAGAGCGGCGGCGUUAGCGGCAGCCUACGGAGCUUACUCCUAGGUCUCGACGAACGCUUGUCCGCUGGUUUAUUCGUCGAGGGGGAAACCCUCGGCGUCAUGGGUUAGCUUCGUCGUUCUCGUCGUCGAGAAAACCCUCGCCGCUAGGCGUUAGUUCGUCGAGACGUCGGCCGUUAGGUUCGUUAGUUCGCCGAGGAGGGGCUCGGCGUCAGCCUUUAGCUUCGUUAGUUCGCCGAGGAGAGACUCGGCGUCAGCCUUUAGCUUCGCCGAGGGGAAAAAUCACCGAUUAGGCCUUAGUUUCGUCAGGAAAGAAAGCUUAAGUCAGAGGCUCAGAGGUAACCACCGCUCCUGGAUCUCCGAUAUAUACAUUUAUAGACCGGACCACCUGUCGGAUCUGUAGUCAUGGGCGGUUAAAGUUCUCCUCUGCUCGUUGUUGAGGGAUUUGUAGUCAAAAGCCUCACUGGUCGUUGAGCCCGCUACCGGUUCAGAACAGCAGCCGCUGCCCGACGGUUUAACUUACGAUUCCCAUUCUUUCAACUAUCCGAGUCGCGUGACGUUCUUGGUUGUAGGAGAGCUCUGCCACCUGAGUCGAGACGCGGUUCGACAGAGCCGAAUAUUAUUCGCGAGACCUAAAGGACGGUUUCCCACACAGCACGUGGCCGUAUAGACUGCUAUUUAACCAGGCGUAGUUACGUCGACACAAAGUUCGCUGUCUAUCGUAUAACUGUGCGUCUUUAGGACCUCUCGUGUGCUAGGCGGAAGACAGGUGUUGCAAGAUGAACUCUCUACUACAGGGGUAUAGGUAACCCGCACGACAACCGGUACGGUACCGCCGUGUGAACCAGCUCUCACGGUUUAAGUCACAAUACUGUCCCUUCAUACUCUAGUCACUGUACCGACUCUUACUAGACUAGUGGAAACGCUGUUUAAAGUACAACAAGAAACUACGGACAGGUUCACGUAAACCACCAGAGUGAUGGGAGCUGGAUCUCUUAAACUCUAAACCACUUAGUCUGUAUAGGUUGCAGGAGUAGUGAACGUUCACGAACUCCGUAGACGCAAACAUGUUAACACUGAGACCACAAACGUCGUGCGACGUUCAACUUGUGCGAGCAGAGUCCCUCGAAUCAUAUCAGGUUACAUACCAACUUGCUCAACUUGACUUCACCGAGGGAGUUGAGUGUUGCUACCAGAAACUUCCAACCGGUGUUAAGGUUCUAGGUGACAAGUAACCAGUACAGGGUAACGACCUCCAACAUUCGGAGUGUUUAGAACGGGAAGCAAUACUGUUCUGCCACAAGAAUUCACUCAAAGAAUCGCCAUGGAGAUAUGCUCUAGGCUUCAACCGUAAAUUAAGACUUUUCUAAACCCACGUCGGUCUUAAAGGCUGCGGUACAGAUCGUAGACAAAAGUCGGUUGAUUCCAAACACUUAAAUGAAGUAGAAGGACUUCCCGUACUAGAGUGAACCUGUUACAUAUAAGAACUUCGACGUGGGAAUGACUUCCUCGAUAUGUACUACCAUACCCUAGUACGCACGUUAUACCUUUAUCUACUCUGCUUCUCCUUUCUUCUUCGUAUAUCACUCCUGUUCCCACAUCUCACCCUGAACCAGCGUCGUCUAAAGGUUGUGGUGUCAAACCAGUGUGAACAGUAAAAACCGAAACUUAGACUUCUAACGAAACACUCAAUACACUCCGCACAAGACCACCGCCGGCAGUUAGAUCUCCUACAGAAGGACAUAUCACCCAACUUCACACCGUCAACGGGCCUGUUCUUCUUCGAACAGUCCAUGGGGACCUGACUUACCGUCUCCUAGAGGGACUUACUCUCUGAGUUGCGACCCUAGCUCAGCCAACGGUAUAACGUGAUACCACUUUACACCGGACCAGUAGAUCGUUUUUACCUCGUGGGUUUCACGAGUUACGAGUUCCGUUUUUUCCCAAAACGACGCACUCCGAUUUUCCACGACUAAAAUGUCAUCAGCUUCACAACAAUAGAAACCAACUCUCGAACAAAGUCAUAAAAAAAACAUGGAGAUUUUACCAUGAUGAUGCAUACCUCCUAUCAUAUCUGAACAACGAUACAACCAAUACCAGAUUUUAAUUGGUCUUUAAACUACAAUGAAUUACGCUUUGACGAUCAGCUCUAAGGUUUG